CGCAGGCACCAUCUUCACCGGCGGCCUCUCCUUCCUUCCCUCGCGCGAGCACACAGCAGCCGGCGAUCCCUUCUCCUCAUCCCCGAGCCUCACCCACAGACGUCGCCGACCACCUCUACUCGACGUCGACCCCAGUGUGCCCUAGCACCGAUUGCCACCACACAGCCGCUGAUCCUCAUCUCGUCGAGUUGUGCCCUAGCGGAUUCGGACUUUGAUUCGAGUCGGGCGUCUCGACGAAAGAUUUCUGGAUUGGAUCUUCUAUUGAGGCGGGUAACAGGUAGAUGAGUCAUGGAUGCUUGGAGAGUCCCAGCUGCCAGUCCCACGACACACUCGAGGAUAGUUUCUUUUUCUGGUUUUGAUUGCUAACGCAAUUUAUGUUUUGGUUUUGUGAACUUGGUAUUGUAUGCUUCGAUAUGGAUUUUGGAGUCUAGUUUGGUGGUUGCAGGUAAUUUAGUUAGUGACUUUGUCGGUCAUACAUUUGUUUUCUUUUUGUGAUUUCCGCUGCGUUUACAUCCAGUCGUGCAGGCUAAGUAUUUAUUGUUCUGUCU